GCUUUCCUUUGUAUGAACAUCGUUUGAUGUAUGUUAGAUAUUUAAAACUUAUAAUUUAUUCACGUAAUUGACUAUCUGCUCUGUUUCUUAAUUGACUAUCAGAUCUUAUGUUACCAGGAUAAUGGGCACUUAGAAGGUUGCACAAGUAGCAAUGGAAAAUCGUCUUUCAGUCCUCAUGUUCAGAAUACAUUGAGGCAAGAGAUACUGCAACUUGAAAAAAGAUUGCUGGACCAAGUUGCAGUCCAUGGUGUGCUAGAAAAGACGCUUGGUCGCAUGCCUGUAUCCCAUGAUCCAAAAAAUGAGAUACCAUUGCCUAAGCCGACGACUAAACUGAUAAAAGACAUCUCAGAGUUAAGGCUACUUCUAACGAUUGCUUUUUUCCAAGUCUGAAAACUUUUAUGAUGAUUGCCAAGAAAGAGAGUUCACCAGAAUUGCCGCAAGUAUCAUCAUCAAUUCAUUCGGCCACUGGUUUAUAUGGGG